rnacentral:lncRNA from 1 species
GGGGAGGCUGGGGAUAGCAAGCCAGUAAUUAGUAAUAGACUCUUUUCAUCGAGGGAUCAGGUUAAGGGUAGCCUAAGAAAUUUUCGUGACAAUUAAUUAAUUAAGCUAAUAAUUCAAGAGGAGUAAAUAAGAGAGAGCGGAUAAGAUGAAAUUGUAAACCCCCAACAACUCCAUUCAUCCAUUGUUUUCUUUUUGUCAAUUGAAUCAAUCUCUUUUACAUGUUUAUAUUUUAUUCGCACAACCAAUUAAUUAAUUCUUAUUUUCAAGUCUUANGAUUUUAAUUCACACGAACGAUAAGGCCUUUCGAGUCUCUUGGGAAAACGAUACUUGGACUUACCAUUUAUUAUUACUUGAUACGAUUUGGUACACUUGCCAAUCCGUUAACACUGACUCUCCUUCUCCCUCUUGCCUCGCUUAAGCCUUCGAGAAGAGGUUGCGUAUUUUUCUUGCUCCUAGUUUGUCUGGGCUCCUGCUGCAUGCACAAGAAACACAAACCCUAGUAGCACUUUUUUAUAUUUUCAAAAAAAAUAAAAAGAUAAAAAGAUAUAUUCAAUCAAGUCAAACUUAAUCAGUUUACACUACUAGAUAAGUUAAACCACGAGUCCCCGGCAAUGGUGCCAAAAACUUGUUAAGUCUCUGGCAAGUGUACCAGAUCGUUAUCAAGUAAUAUAAGCGAGUAAGUCCGAGUAUUGUUUUCCCAAAGGACUCUUAGGCCUUAACUUUCAUGUAACCUAAUCUUUUAAGACUUGAGAAGAGAAUAAAAUUUUGUGGUUAUAUGCAAAGAACAAAAAUAAACAUGCAAUGUAGUUGAUUCAAUUGGUUUUGUGAAACUAUGGAUGAAUGGUGUUGUUGGGGUUUACAAUUUCAUCUUAUCCACUCUCAUAUAUCUACUCUUCUUAUUUAAUUCACUUAUUUAUCUAAUUGCCAUGCAUACUUUCUUAUUUACCCUUAACCCAAUCCCUUGAUGAAAAGAGCCUAUUAUUAAUUACCGGCUUGCUAUCCCUAGCCUCCCCAAGUAACCAAUAAUGUAAUGCGUUCGGAAGCAAAUACAAUUGACUGUCCUACCCCUAUCCCUAGGUGAUAUUGGCAUAACCAAGGAAUUUCCCACCA